UCAUCAGCUGUAUGGUAAACGGCACAAGACCAACGUGUGGCCGAGAUCAGCAGUGACCAGCCUCUACCAUAAGACAGCUUUCCCUGAGAAUGCAGGAAGGAACUCAAAGCCUGGUAGAUGGUGACGUCCAGAUGCCCGAAGGUGACCUGCUCUUUGGAUACAGCAGCACUCUGUAAAGAGGUGCUGAACGAAACCCUGCCUGAAGAGCCUGACCUGGUGUGUCUUAUUGCACCAGGGAACAACCUCUCGAACAACACCAUCCAACAAGCAGGGAAGGAUUUUGCCAGCCUUAUCCCUUCAGCCCAGGGCACAGGGAAUAAGGUAGUGGUAAUUGAUUUUCCAAACCGGCUGACAGUGGAGUUCCCGUAUCAAGACAUGUUGCGACAAGAGUACCAUUGAGUUGCAGCCAGCAUGAAUGUAAGGUACCUCUCCACUGUAGAUCACUUCCCUGCAAGGAGCUCUGACCUGUGGUGCCGUGACGGGGUGCAUCUAAGUGAUGACCAUGGAAUGCUCAUCUUUGCCCAACUGAUCUGGUGUGUAGCUUACUUUCAGCUGAACGUUCCACAGGGGAUCAAGACCACCCUGCUGCACCCAGACGUGCAUUCCACAGAGUGACCCCACGGCUGGUGGUGAGAGGGACACCAGCUGCACCACCACAGAGACGAGAUCCUUACUCAUGGGCUGAGGUGGCAAGAGGACACAGUAAGAAGAUGUCGAAUAGUAAUUGCAGACGGUUCCACUCUGUAAGUAUAACAUACAUUUUUUUUAAUUCUUUGCACUAAGAUAUUGUAUUAACAAAGAUUUAUGUCAGUUGAAAUGUCGUUAAUUAUAAUUAAUCAUUUUUACAUACCACAUGCUAAAAUAAAUUAAUUGAUUGGAUUACUAUAUAUAUUUUAUAAUAAAAACAUUAAUGUUAACUUGUGUUUUUGUGAUACAAAAGUUAAACUGCACACAUUCGUUUCAUCGAAAAAAAUCCAAUAAACAAUAACAGGAAAUAUAUUUUCUCAUCCUUUAAUUCUACAGCUUUUACAUUUGUUGUGCUAUUUGUUUUUCUUGUUAUGUUUUUCAUGGUAAAUGCCAUCAAUAAAAAUGCUUAUCAGUAAUAUAUUUUUAUUGUCUUUUUUAAUUAAUUAAAAGUGUGUCUG